GUGGGGAAUCUUGCGCAAUGGGCGAAAGCCUGACGCAGCCAUGCCGCGUGAAUGAUGAAGGUCUUAGGAUUGUAAAAUUCUUUCACCGGGGACGAUAAUGACGGUACCCGGAGAAGAAGCUCCGGCUAACUUCGUGCCAGCAGCCGCGGUAAUACGACGGGGGCUAGCGUUGCUCGGAAUUACUGGGCGUAAGGGGCGCGUAGGCGGACAGCUUAGUCAGAUGUGAAAGCCGAGGGCUCAACCUUGGAAUUGCCUUUGAUGCUGGCUGGCUUGAGUUUGGGAGAGGUGAGUGGAACUCCGAGUGUAGAGGUGAAAUUCGUAGAUAUUCGGAAGAACACCAGUGGCGAAGGCGACUCACUGGCCCGUUACUGACGCUGAGGCGCGAAAGCGUGGGGAGCAAACAGGAUUAGAAACCCCUGUAGUCC
rnacentral:rRNA from 1 species